AAUGCUUGGGAAUAUGCCUUUAGGUGGGGGACGACAGUUGGAAACGACUGCUAAUACCGCAUAACGUGCUUUUUGCGGUGAAAAGUACCAAAGGGGGGGCUCUUCGGACCUCUUGCCUAAAGAUUAGCCCAAGUGAGAUUAGCUAGUUGGUGAGGUAAUGGCUCACCAAGGCGACGAUCUCUAGCUGGUUUGAGAGGAUGAUCAGCCACACUGGGACUGAGACACGGCCCAG
rnacentral:rRNA from 1 species